CACAGGCUGUGAUGGGUGUGCGUGAUUGAUGCCAGAAAUAUCGAUGCAGAUGGGUUGCUGAACAGUGUGGGGCUGACUGAAAAGAUUCAAGUAUCGGGUUACAUGUCUCAUUAGGAAUAGAAGACAGCUGGGAAACAGGAAGAAUAACAUGACACAAAGACUAAAGUAACUUUGUGGCUCCCUUACAGUCACAAGUGAUUUUCAUUGCUGGUCCCAAGACACCAGAUCACUGCUUGCUUACAUUAAGUCAGCAUCCCAUAUCAAACUUCACUCACCCCUUCAACAGCUGGAAUAAAAACCAACAUACCUGUGGAUCCAUAAGAGCAUACAGCACAGCGAUCAAAGCUGGGUUUCCAAUCUUCUCCAUUGCGCCUGAUUCCUUCUUCCUGUGGGCAGUCACCACUGCAACCUGGACCAGAUGUGCACACGCAGUCAUAGCCUCCCG